AGUCUUCAGGCCCCAGGUCAGUGAGUGGCAAGCCAGGCCCAGAGAGCUCUGGGCCCAUUGGAACAUCCCCUUCUCGGGAGGCUGGAAGGCCAUGGUCAUUCACCUCUCCCCAGCAAGGUGGGACCUGCCCUGGAAGAAGAAACCAGACCAGCUUUUGUCUUGCUUGAAGAAGAUGGAAUUGCUCAAUGAUGACAGUGAAGGAAUUUGAAAGGUCUAGAGUGCAGCCAGUCAAGAAGAUUUCUAGAAAUUGGGCCCAAAGUGUCUUUGGAUGAUGAAAUUAGGAUGACAGUGGCAAUGUUAUCGUCAUGGUUAUUUCCUUGAGCAUGGCAUGGAAGAUGAGGUGUUCUAGUGAAGUUUCUCACUGGCCCAAACUGUUGUGAUAAAUCCUUUGAAGCUAUAUCAAUUCAUCCAGUUUCAACUUCCAGAGCUUCGGGAA
rnacentral:sRNA from 1 species